rnacentral:rRNA from 1 species
UUUUUUGAAGGGCCGCAGUAACCUGACUGUGCAAAGGUAGCAUAAUCAUUUGUCUCUUAAUUGGAGGCUGGUAUGAAUGACUGGACGAGGUAAAAACUGUCUCAUUAUUAAAAUUGUAAAAAUUUAGCUUUUUAGUUAGAAGGCUAGAAUUUUUUUGGAGGACAAGAAGACCCUAUAGAGCUUUAUAAUAUGAAUAAAUUUUUUAAUUUGGUUUAAAAUUUUUUAAUUUUUUUUUUUUAUUAUUUUGUUGGGGUGACAUGAAAAUUUAUUGAACUUUUCAUUUUUAUAAACAUAAGUUAAUGAUUUAAUGAUCCAAUAUUAUUGAUUAUAAGAAUAAGUUACCUUAGGGAUAACAGCGUGAUUUUAUUGGAGAGUUCAUAUUGAUAAUAAAGUUUGCGACCUC